GUAAGAGUAGAAAAAAAAAUUAUUCCCUAGACAGACCUACAUCAUCAAAAAGCUCGUUAGAAAGUAUUUUUAUUGAUUGGGCUAUUUUUAUGGUAAUAACUGAUAUUCGAUUCCGAAUUUAACAUUUGCUUUGAUUUUUCAUAGAUUCACGACCAUCAACAAUAUGCAGAAACUGCGGAUCAACUGGCAGUAAACCUCAAAAUUAAAUAAUCCUAAAUUAUAUGCAAGAACUGUCAGCAAAGAUAGAUUGGCAGAACAUUGGGAUUUCUCAAAUUUUGCAUGAAUUGUUUCUCGAUAAUUAUGGAUUUGAGCGGUCUUCCUUACCAUUGGAGGAUUCCCUUCCUUACCAUUGGAAACUGAAGAAUCUUUUGUAGACUUUAGUAACUAUUUAGAUGAUAAAGUUUUGUAUGGUUAUAUGCUGAAAUAUCUGUUACGGAAAGGAAAGGGAGAGACAACCUCUCUCUUCACUUACUCUAUUUUGUCGACCUUACUUAAAAAUAAUUUGGCACGACUCAUUAGUUGGAAGGGUUGUGGAGGGGUCAAGCUCAGUUUUGAGAAAUCCAAACUAAAAAAUCUAGUAGAAGGUAUCAUUUUGCUUUUUAAAAAGUCGUCUUCAGAUUUAUUAUAACUUUGGUUUUUACAUACAUAAGCAUACCCAGCAAACACAAUGUAACAUGUAACAUAUCUGUUAGUUGUAAUUUUCUACUUAACAAUGUAAUUAUUAUAUAACACAAGCGUUAUGUAACUGUUACAUUGCUGAGUAGGAAAUUACAACUAACAGGUAUGUUACAUGUUACAUUAUGUUUGCAAUAUACAUAUUAUAAUUUUGCUUUUUAUAUAUAUAACCAUAUGCACAUAUUAUAUAUUAAACUAUCCCUACUUUUUCUCUCUUUAAUAAGUAUUUGCUUGAAAAAAUUUUCUAACAUACCAAUUUCCGUAUUCGAAGGCUAUAUAAAACAAUGGUUCAACACUUCCAUACAACGAUCAGACUAGAUUAAUUAAGUCUUUUGGGUACUAUAGUGUUUCGGCUUUAUUAUAUAAGUACCAUAAAAUCUUGCAUGUUACAAACUUGCUGUAAGUCUCAUAAAUUUGAUGUUUUUUAUUGA